CAACUUGUGCCAGAGCCUUGGCUCCAAGCACUGCCGGCAUUCCCAGUCACAGCCCUGUCACUGUGAUAACUUUCUGUCCACUUAUCAAACACUGCUGCGGAAUAAUGUCCAUGUUUCGCUCCAGUUCAUCCCAUCCUCUCGUUGGACAGCGGAGAGAAAUGGCUGCAGAGGAGCCAGUUCAGGGGCCGGUGACCUUCGAGGAGGUGGCUGUGUAUUUCACCA